AUUGAACGCUAGCGGGAUGCCUUACACACGCAAGUCGAACGGAGUGGCGAACGGGUGAGUAAUGUAUCGGAACGUGCAAAGUAGCGGGGGAUAACUACGCGAAAGCGAAACUAAUACCGCAUACUAUUGGAGCGGCCGAUUUCGGAUUAGCUAGUUGGUGGGGUAACGGCACACCACGGCGACGAUCCUUAGCUGGUUUGAGAGGACGACCAGCCACACUGGGACUGAGGCACGGCCCAGACUCCUACGGGAGGCAGAAGUGGGGAAUUUGGGACAAUGGGGGAAACCCUGAUCGAGCCAUCCGGCGUGUGCGAUGAAGGCCUUCGGGUUGUAAAGCACUUUUGGCAGGAAAGCGGUACCUGCAGAAUAAGCACCGGCUAACUACGUGCCAGCAGCCGCGGUAAUAC
rnacentral:rRNA from 1 species